UACGUAGGGGGCAAGCGUUGUCCGGAUUUAUUGGGCGUAAAGGGCUCGUAGGCGGUGUGUCGCGUCGGCCGUGAAAACCUGGGGCUUAACUCUGGGCGUGCGGUCGAUACGGGCAUCACUAGAGUUCGGCAGGGGAGACUGGAAUUCCUGGUGUAGCGGUGAAAUGCGCAGAUAUCAGGAGGAACACCGGUGGCGAAGGCGGGUCUCUGGGCCGAUACUGACGCUGAGGAGCGAAAGCAUGGGUAGCGAACAGG
rnacentral:rRNA from 1 species